CUUGCUGUAACGUCUCUCCAGCCAGCUGCAGCUCCUGCUGACUUAUCCCACCCCAGCGCAGGUCAUCCAACGGUGACUUAUGGCCCCGGCCUCCUGGCUCGAUGAGGAUGGCAGGAAAGGGACACAGCCGGCGCUGAUGCUGGGAGGCCUCCAGGGAUGGAGAGUGGCCUGGCUGGCAACGGCACAGUUGCAGAGUGGGCAGGAUCUUAAGACCCGAUAGGUGCAGAACCCAUCUGGACACGGAGACCAGGAAUGGAGUUCCAUGGAGGCCUGGCUGGCACUGCACCCGGGCAUGAGGACACAUCCAGUAAGAAGACCUGCCUCAAGAGGUGCACUGCGGUGACCAGUGGAGGUGACUGGUUGGAGCCUGGAAUUGGAAGCAGAUUCCAAGCUCUGGUGGACAAACUCUCCAGGCCUGGUGGGAAUCACAGCUGGGGCAGACCUCAUCCUGGCUGCCUGGCCACAGGCCCCCACUCUCUGCCACUGGUGGUAGGACGAUGCCUGUGUGGAGAGCUGGCUUCUCUGCUCCCGCCUGGUCCACCACUUGGCUAGAGUUCAGAGACAGGAAGUGAUUGGUCUAAGCUA
ensembl:lncRNA novel transcript